AGCUGGUACAAACGCAGCGCUGUUGCCGCUAACUGAUCACAACCAGCACAGAUUCUUUAUUCCUUCUCUUGACUCCCACUGCUCUGCUUGACUGCUCUUA
rnacentral:sRNA from 1 species